UCCCUGAUGGUCCAGUGGUUAGGACGCCAUGCUCCCAAUGUGGGGGCAUGGGUUCAAUCCCUGGUCAGGCAA
rnacentral:tRNA from 1 species